UACGUAGGGUGCAAGCGUUAAUCGGAAUUACUGGGCGUAAAGCGUGCGCAGGCGGUUUUGUAGGCCAGAUGUGAAAUCCCCGGGCUUAACCUGGGAAUGGCAUUUGGGACUGCAAGGCUUGAGUGCGGCAGAGGAGACUGGAAUUCCUGGUGUAGCAGUGAAAUGCGUAGAUAUCAGGAGGAACACCGAUGGCGAAGGCAGGUCUCUGGGCUGACACUGACGCUCAUGCACGAAAGCGUGGGGAGCAAACAGG
rnacentral:rRNA from 1 species